GCCCUUGUUUUAGACAAACACCAUUAUCCGUUGAGUGGAGCAACUGGCUUUGUGUGACCACAAGGUGGGAAAGGGAGGAUUGGAUACCGGUGAACAGAGACACUGCAGGUUCAUGAGGGGUUAAACAGAGUAGGUUUAAUGAAGGACUUGCACUCCAAACUGCACAGGGAGCCCCAGGAACCGCGCAGAAGGGUUGAUGAUGGGAGGCUGCUGGACGCCCGGGUCAGACCCUCAGCUUGUUGCAUCCUAAGGACCCCUUUACAUCUACUUGAACUAUUUCCUUGUCUCAGCUGUGCUAAGCUUGAGUAGCUACUGUCCAGGAAUCAGCUGGAUGUUGCUGACAAAAGGGAAUGUGCCUGCCUGGCCCUGAUGGGAAUUUGGUCAGUGUGUAGUUUCACAUGCUGGGCCUGCUACCAUGUGCGCUGCCCAUCACUGACUCCUGGCCAGAUCUUCUGCAGGUGUUUUCAAUCCACUCCACCCCCUGACUGACAGAGACGUGGUGUUGGUGCCACCAGUGUGCAGACAAGGUUUGGACAUGCUUUGCAGGUAUUAGCUUAACUAACAGCUAAGUUGCACAAACAGCUAUAUUCUAGUAAAUAUAUGGUACAUUAUAACAUAUAUGCAUGCAAAAAUAAUCAGCUCAAAAGACCAGGAGUAUAAUGCGUUUUCCCCAUAGUCCUAAAUCCAACAACCAUGAUGACAGUUGCUGCCAGGGGUUGUACCAUGCUGGUUCUUUGUCUCUGACAUUGUGUAGUACUUGGAGUAGACUCAUCAUCUUGUGGAUUUCCGUUUCCAUGGGCUUGCUGCAGUGUUGUCGGCUUCCCAGCUACCAUCAGUGUAUGGGGUUAGGAUGCAGAGCAGCAAUGUCGAGCAAUGUUGCAGCUCUGCUCGGCACGUUCAUCAGGUCACGGUUCUCUGGGAGAGAGUCUCCGAAAAUGAAGCAAAUCACAACAUUGCUUUUGGACCCUGAGAAUCAUUGCCUGCUGCUCACGCACUUUCCUGCAAAUCAGCAGGAAAUACAUGAAGGGUCAUAGCUGAGAAUCAGCUUGCAAAGUUGAAAUUUUUUUAUGCAAAUAACUCUGCAAGACCCUUUAGAAUUAUGGUCCUCACCUUCCCACAUGCUCCUCUCUUCCCUAAGGGACUCAUUUCUAGCCUGACAGUUCAGGUGUCCCUCUCAGCUGAGCACUUUUUGCAAUGUGUCACUAGGUUGUUGGAGGCCUGCAGUUUCUGAAAUUCUUGCCAGGAUCUCCAGCCAGGAUGUUAACUCAACCCCCACAUUCAGCUGAUCAGAUACAAGGAACCUCACCAUCAUCAUCCAAGCCAUGUGCCUGCUGCUGGUCUGUGAACUGCUAAGGCAGGAUUGACCUCACAUGCCCAUGCCCCAGCCAUGAGGCUGCUGCUAGCCUAUCAGAGGCUGAGUCAGAAGUGACCUUCCGAGCAAGAACACAAGCCUCGUCCAUCAGAGAAGAGGAAAGGCCAUCAGCAGCCAUGUGGGCUUGCUAGAUGAUUGUAAGGUCACCUCUAACUGAGCAGCUGAUAGGUCAGCACUUGGCUAAUGCUUGGGGCAAUUGUUUGUGAGGUCACUUCUGCCUGAGGACCUGAUAGSCCWCCAAGCAGCACAGRGCUAGGAUGUUGAUUGUGAGGUCAUUCAGAACUGAGUAGCUGAUAGGCCAGAAACAGUUACAUGGCUUGGAUGGUGACUGUGAGAUCACCUCU
ensembl:lncRNA